rnacentral:rRNA from 1 species
UACGUAGGGGGCAAGCGUUGUCCGGAAUCAUUGGGCGUAAAGCGCGCGUAGGCGGCCCGGUAAGUCCGUUGUGAAAGUCAAAGGCUCAACCUUUGAACGCCGAUGGAUACUGCCGGGCUAGAGUCCGGAAGAGGCGAGUGGAAUUCCUGGUGUAGCGGUGGAAUGCGCAGAUAUCAGGAGGAACACCAAGUAGCGAAGGCA